UACAGAGGUCCCAAGCGUUGUUCGGAUUCAUUGGGCGUAAAGGGCUCGUAGGCGGUCUGUCACGUCGAAAGUGAAAACUCAGGGCUUAACCCUGAGCCUGCUUCCGAUACGGGCAGACUAGAGGUAUGCAGGGGAGAACGGAAUUCCUGGUGUAGCGGUGAAAUGCGCAGAUAUCAGGAGGAACACCGGUGGCGAAGGCGGUUCUCUGGGCAUUACCUGACGCUGAGGAGCGAAAGUGUGGGGAGCGAACAGG
rnacentral:rRNA from 1 species